AAACUACGUUAAACGGUGUGAAUUGCAGAACACGCAGAACACUGGAACUUUGAACGCACAUGGCAGGUUAGUGUUACAACUAGCCUUUGUCUGUGUGAGGGUUGUAGUUAGAGAAUCAAGGCUAUUUUUGGAAGAGCGGGGAGGUUGCCUGUUGAAUGUGUGACAUGCCCGCUGAUGAAGUAGAGAUACACUCGUGUAGUGGCUCUGGCUGGUGUCGGAGGUAAACGGCAACUGAGUGGUGGGAUUGAGGAGUUUGCUGGAGUUGAUGCGCUGUUGAAAGCGUGAUCAGAAACGAUCAGUAGUUCCAUAUCCCGAGCUUCUUUCUCACAACCUCACAUCAGGCAAGAUUACCCGCUUAAUUUAA
rnacentral:misc_RNA from 1 species